UGCACUCACAGUGGUAAGUCGCUCUGGAUAAGAGCAUCUGCUAAAUGACUAAAA
rfam:Salmo salar isolate Sally breed double haploid chromosome ssa07, whole genome shotgun sequence.